rnacentral:rRNA from 1 species
GAUGAACGCUGGCGGCGUGCCUAAUACAUGCGAGUCGAGCGAACAGAUGAGGAGCUUGCUCCUCUGACGUUAGCGGCGGACGGGUGAGUAACACGUGGAUAACCUACCUAUAGGACUGGGAUAACUUCGGGAAACCGGAGCUAAUACCGGAUAAUAUAUUGAACCGCAUGGUUCAAUAGUGAAAGACGGUUUUGCUGUCACUUAUAGAUGGAUCCGCGCCGCAUUAGCUAGUUGGUAAGGUAACGGCUUACCAAGGCAACGAUGCGUAGCCGACCUGAGAGGGUGAUCGGCCACACUGGAACUGAGACACGGUCCAGACUCCUACGGGAGGCAGCAGUAGGGAAUCUUCCGCAAUGGGCGAAAGCCUGACGGAGCAACGCCGCGUGAGUGAUGAAGGUCUUCGGAUCGUAAAACUCUGUUAUUAGGGAAGAACAAAUGUGUAAGUAACUAUGCACGUCUUGACGGUACCUAAUCAGAAAGCCACGGCUAACUACGUG